UGGCAUUGGCAAGGGUGGUAGGGUCUGCAGUUUAGGGCCUCAGGGUUUCAACUCUGCUCUUUGCAGAUGAUACGAUUCUGUUGGCCUUUCAGCAGGUAUUUGGGGGGUUUGCAACCAAGUAUUGAGCGCCUCGGGUGAGAAUCAACACCUUUAAGGUUGUGUCCAUGGUUCUCAGAUAAAAGUACAUUGCUCUCAGUGGUUGGGGUUCUUGUUCAGGGGUAAGGGUGUAAUGGAUUCUUAGCCUGACAGGCAGACUGGUGUAGGGUCAGCAGUAAUGUGGGCAUUGCUCUGUGGAAGAGAGGGAGCGGAGCUGGUGGGCAAAACCAGAUCUAAGCUCGAUAUUUAGAGCAUGAUGUGGUUGUCCUGGGCAUUACUUCUGCAGUUAGGUAAAAAUAACCCUGGUAAAUGGGGUCGCCUCCUGCUGGCAGUUAGCAAGAAUUCAGGUUUGUAGCUUUACACUUCUCAAACAAGAGGCUACAGCCCUUGUUGACAAAGCCAAGACGAAGAAUCCCAUUGGCAAUUUACUGUCUGUUUUUGUGACCUCUAUGAGCCGUUUCAAACUGUGAUAUAACACCAGCACUGAGUUUGCUCUUAUUCAGUCUCCUCUCUCUAAUAAACCCUUGUCAUCCCACUCCUCAGCCGGAGCAGAUCAUGAAAAGUACUUCCAGGUAAUUUGCACCAGGUCUGACCUGAAUACGCCUGAGCCUGCACCAAUUAACUUCCUGCAGGGUCUUUCAGUUAAAAGGUCAAAUCCCCCGGUACAUUAUAAUUAACAGCAAUCCAACUGAGGGCACGCUUUAAUUUGGAAAAGAAAAAUAUUAAUAUGUUUGAACUGAAGGGAGGGCAGACUUAUAACAAAACUCCUCCAGCAAACAACGACAGUAUCAGCUGUAUGAAAACAAGAACACAACUAAAAGUAGCGAAGAAAAAUCUCUCAGUAUACGACCCCAGCCUUUAAAAUACAGACGCUGAUAUGAGCAUGAAAACCUCACCGCUCUGGUCCAUGCUGACUCCAACAUUUCCUGAAAUAAGUCAGUCUAAGCUUUGCCAGGAAUAAAUCCAAACUGCUGUUGUGACUGGUGGCAGCUUUUAUUUCUCAAGGAGAGAAGAAAACCUACUUCCACAAUGAAAAAGACAAAAAAAAACUUUGUACAGAGAUUUGUUCCCGACUACUCUCAGCCCUUACAUCUCUGCAUCAGGCACUACUAAUAGCUUUUAAGAUGCUUUGGACUGGGAAUGGGCAUUUUAAGAAAGUCCCUCAAUCUACUUAUUUAGCCGAAAAUACACAAAAAACAUGUUUUUUCUUGUUGAACCCUCCCCCAAACAGUUGUUCAGGACUGCACACUACAUGCUCACUUGCACUUCCUACCUCCCCAGUAAUAACCGUUAUUUUUUUCUCAUUCGUGAUAUGCUAAAUCUGGGACAUUCCCGGUGAAAACUUUAGCCGGGGACAGGUUAUCCAAAACUGAGGACUGUCCCUCGAAACUGGGGACAACUGGUCACCCUACAGUUCCUCUUUGCUAGCAAGGAACUGAUGGUAGGUUGAGAUAAGAGCACUCGAAGGAUUCAUAAACCUCAGUUGGAAAUAUGUGGUUGAAGUGGUACAUCAUUAUAUCCAAUACAAAUACACACUGACUGGACAAAGAGGGUAUCUCUCCUGAUCCGCAGAGGUUGAUCUUUAAUGGAGGAUGAACGCACACUGUCAGCCCUUUCAUUAGUAACGUUAGAUUGAUUGAAAUUUCGCAUAAACUAAGUAAUUCUUAACAAUCAAUUAGUCGAUCGUUGAUUAAUCGAUUGGUUCUUAGUCUUGAGAAAUAAGGAGAAUUUCGAAAAUCGUUUCUUCCGGGGAACAGUUACCAUGGAACAAGUACCUUCUGACGCACAAAGAGGGCAAACAAUAAAUGUUGUUAUGGUUGGUUAAAGUGGCUCUUGAAACAGCGAAGUAACUUCGAACAGACAAGUCUUUGAACAUCAGUGAAGUCAGUCGGUCCUUUUCUCUGUUGGCUGUCAUGUCUGUAAAAGUUGAACCCGCUACUGCUCCUAGGUUCGAAAUGAACCAGCUCAUGGUCAUUUUCUUUCAGCUGCACCUGAAUUAUCUAUCAGCAUAGGCUCCUGGACUUUAAUUUCUAAUCCUCAACCACAAAGAUUUCUUUAACUAAAAGGAUGAUUAAAUUUGACCGUUGAAUAUUCAGUUUUAAAACAAAGAAAAUUUGAUUUCAGUGUGUUUUACCUUCUUAUCCAGUAAGCUAAAGGUUCACAGGAAGAGAGAUGUUUUUGUUAUCCUUCAAAAUAAAAGGGUAAAAGGUGAAGAAACACUUAACAAACACCAAACUGAUAAUUACAUCUGCUAGAUGCCAGAAGCGAAAAGACUUUCCUACAUCUAAAACUAGCCUAAGACUUAUUUUAGGCAAAAAUGAAUGAAAACAUGACUGACUGACUUGCACGUUCAAGUACACUUCUGUGCUGCCCAUACCAACAUAAGACACAUAACACCUAAUAUUUGUUUACUGUUGAUUCAAAACAGAAAAUUCCUGCACUAUAAGCCCCUGUUUCUGUUUGAAAUGAGAAAUUUAUUAAGCUGCAAACAGCAAACACAACAAAAAGCUACUCUGUAAGCAUCUGGUGCACAGCACAGCCAAACAAACAGGGCUGAAACUCCAGUCAUGAUUAAAUGAAAUCUGCAGAAGCAGGCGAAAUACAAGUAUAUAGUUUUAUUUGGCUCUACAUCAUAUUCAAUGUGACUAUGCAUCAUUGCCAGCAGAUCUUUGGCUGAAAGUGUGAAAGCUAAAUCCUGACCGGGAAAGACAGAGUCCCCCAAUUGAAAUGAAAACCAGCACGCAGAGGUGAAUACAGAGAGAUGCUUUCAAGAUACCAAGAUAUAGGAUGACUUGAAAAAUAAAAAUACCCCAUCAGUGAAAGAGUGGAGUUUUAUAUAUAGAAAUCUUUGAGAUAACUAAAACUUGCAGAAACAUCGUGUUGCAGUGUCACUUUUUCCAUUUCCACAUCUCUUGGCUGCCGUUCAGUUCAGUGGUUUCUCUAAACUUCUAACCCCGGAUCAUUUGGAACACAGCAGGAGCUGUUUUGAGCACAUUUUAAGCCUUCAUUCCUGCUAUUACAAGAAAACAGAACACACUGAGUGAGAAUCACAAGCUGUUCAAACAGACGAGUCGCUUGUUGUCAUUUAAAAAUGUGUAUUUUUGGCCCGAGUUUAGAGAAAGAUGGUGUUAUCUCAUCAUCGAGUUUUCAUAAAAGCCAUGAAAGUCGUCCAAAGUACUUCCUCUUUUUGACAUUUUAAUUGAAGUUUGCUGUUUUUAGUUUGGCAGAAAAUGAAUCGGACUUCAUCUGUCCUUUUCCAGCACACCGGUGACUCCGUCAUCUUUCAUGUAUUCUCGGUGCACACUCAAAGACGAUUGUGAGAGAAAUUACCGGUCUGCACUCUUAUUAACUAAUGAGGCCAAAGGGGCUGAACCGCUGCCCCCAUCCUCUUUCUUUGUUUGACCCUGAGGUGGCCCUGCAUCUCAGCAAACUGAUAAUCACUGCGGAGCUACAGAAUGCUCAGCAGCAUACUAAUGCAAGGAAACUAAUAUACCGAGCACAGCGGCAGUCAGUUUGCAUCACCAAGACUAUAUCAAGGUCUUGCUCCUUUUACGCAGACCUUUCCACCAGAGAAUUUCCCCUCCUAAGAGGAAACAAAAUCAGCAUGUACAACUACCAUUUCAUCCUCCUCUCUGAUCAUGUCUGAUUAAGCUUUUAAUGAAUCAUGACUUUACCUCACCUUACCUACAAUGGCUCUGUUUGUUUUACCGAUGGACAAACUCGGAAUAAACUCCAAAUCAAAACUGGUUCAGAGGGAUCUUGGGCUUGAUGUGUUAUUCUGCAAGGCGAGGUUGUGCUCUUCACACAGGGUCAUGUUUUGCCUCGGAAACAAGGUGUGUGAAUGCCAGCCCCGCAAUAAAUAAUACACAAGACAAAUGGCCGUGCAGGGCCGCAAGGCUAGGCUUUCAAUGCAGCGUAUAUGCAUGUGGUUACACCUUCGAUUCACCACGACAACCUAGAAAAGAGGCAGUGCUUUCAUUUCAUGAAAUGAUCUGCUAUUCAUCUGCAAUCAAUGGCAUUUGUUCCUCCUGUCGUAUUGCAAACUAGCGCUGCACAUCCACACUCUAAGGGAAACAGCCGAGCCGUGGCCUUUGUGUCCCCUUUGGAGCGCCUGCAUCCAAGACCAGCUGCCCUCGAACUUCAGUUUCUCUUUAGUAUUUCCAAACAAUUUCAACAUUAAUCAAAAGCUCAGUUGUAGCAUGGUCGCCACCUGUUGCUGUCUCAUGCUGCAGGACACUUAGCUUCUUUACCCAGGUGAUAAUCCAGCCUUGUCCAAACCCCACAGACCAGUCAAUAUUAUGGAUUCAACGUUUGUUUCAUCACACUGCAUUUUGAUGUGAUUCCCUUUAAAGCCGCCAUGAUUGAUGGUUGGCCUUGGGGACAGAAGAGCUCCACAUGAGGAAAACAAUGGUCCAAACACACACUCAGUAGCUUUGUGGUAAUGUUUGUCCCUCAGAGAAAUUUGGGGGUCAGUUUUCGCUGCUCUUCAGUUC